rnacentral:rRNA from 1 species
GGUCGGCAACGACCACCCAGAGCCGGAAAGUUGGUCAAACUCGGUCAUUUAGAGGAAGUAAAAGUCGUAACAAGGUCUCCGUAGGUGAACCUGCGGAGGGAUCAUUA